rnacentral:rRNA from 1 species
UUAAGCGACUAAGCGUACACGGUGGAUGCCCUGGCAGUCAGAGGCGAUGAAGGACGUGCUAAUCUGCGAAAAGCGUCGGUAAGGUGAUAUGAACCGUUAYARCCGGCGAUGUCCGAAUGGGGAAACCCAGUGUGAUUCGUCACACUAUCGUUAACUGAAUACAUAGGUUAACGAGGCGAACCGGGGGAACUGAAACAUCUAAGUACCCCGAGGAAAAGAAAUCAACCGAGAUUCCCCCAGUAGCGGCGAGCGAACGGGGAGCAGCCCAGAGUCUGAAUCAGCUUGUGUGUUAGUGGAACGGUCUGGAAAGUCCGACGGUACAGGGUGAUAGUCCCGUACACCAAAAUGCACAGGYUGUGAACUCGAAGAGUAGGGCGGGACACGUGGUAUCCUGUCUGAAUAUGGGGGGACCAUCCUCCAAGGCUAAAUACUCCUGACUGACCGAUAGUGAACCAGUACCGUGAGGGAAAGGCGAAAAGAACCCCGGYGAGGGGAGUGAAAAAGAACCUGAAACCGUGUACGUACAAGCAGUGGGAGCACCUUCGGGUGUGACUGCGUACCUUUUGUAUAAUGGGUCAGCGACUUAUAUUCUGUAGCAAGGUUAACCGUAUAGGGGAGCCGCAGGGAAACCGAGUCUUAACUGGGCGUUAAGUUGCAGGGUAUAGACCCGAAACCCGGUGAUCUAGCCAUGGGCAGGUUGAAGGUUGGGUAACACUAACUGGAGGACCGAACCGACUAAUGUUGAAAAAUUAGCGGAUGACUUGUGGCUGGGGGUGAAAGGCCAAUCAAACCGGGAGAUAGCUGGUUCUCCCCGAAAGCUAUUUAGGUAGCGCCUCGUGAAUUCAUCUUCGGGGGUAGAGCACUGUUUCGGCUAGGGGGUCAUCCCGACUUACCAACCCGAUGCAAACUACGAAUACCGAAGAAUGUUAUCACGGGAGACACACGGCGGGUGCUAACGUCCGUCGUGAAGAGGGAAACAACCCAGACCGCCAGCUAAGGUCCCAAAGUCAUGGUUAAGUGGGAAACGAUGUGGGAAGGCACAGACAGCCAGGAUGUUGGCUUAGAAGCAGCCAUCAUUUAAAGAAAGCGUAAUAGCUCACUGGUCGAGUCGGCCUGCGCGGAAGAUGUAACGGGGCUAAACCAUGCACCGAAGCUGCGGCAGCGACACUAUGUGUUGUUGGGUAGGGGAGCGUUCUGUAAGCCUGCGAAGGUGWSCUGUGAGGSWUGCUGGAGGUAUCAGAAGUGCGAAUGCUGACAUAAGUAACGAUAAAGCGGGUGAAAAGCCCGCUCGCCGGAAGACCAAGGGUUCCUGUCCAACGUUAAUCGGGGCAGGGUGAGUCGACCCCUAAGGCGAGGCCGAAAGGCGUAGUCGAUGGGAAACAGGUUAAUAUUCCUGUACUUGGUGUUACUGCGAAGGGGGGACGGAGAAGGCUAUGUUAGCCGGGCGACGGUUGUCCCGGUUUAAGCAUGUAGGCUGGUURUCCAGGCAAAUCCGGAUAAUCAAGGCUGAGGUGUGAUGACGAGGCACUACGGUGCUGAAGUAACAAAUGCCCUGCUUCCAGGAAAAGCCUCUAAGCAUCAGGUAACAUYAAAUCGUACCCCAAACCGACACAGGUGGUCAGGUAGAGAAUACCAAGGCGCUUGAGAGAACUCGGGUGAAGGAACUAGGCAAAAUGGUGCCGUAACUUCGGGAGAAGGCACGCUGGUGUGUAGGUGAAGUCCCUGCGGAUGGAGCUGAGACCAGUCGAAGAUACCAGCUGGCUGCAACUGUUUAUUAAAAACACAGCACUGUGCAAACACGAAAGUGGACGUAUACGGUGUGACGCCUGCCCGGUGCCGGAAGGUUAAUUGAUGGGGUUAUCCGUAAGGAGAAGCUCUUGAUCGAAGCCCCGGUAAACGGCGGCCGUAACUAUAACGGUCCUAAGGUAGCGAAAUUCCUUGUCGGGUAAGUUCCGACCUGCACGAAUGGCGUAAUGAUGGCCAGGCUGUCUCCACCCGAGACUCAGUGAAAUUGAACUCGCUGUGAAGAUGCAGUGUACCCGCGGCAAGACGGAAAGACCCCGUGAACCUUUACUAUAGCUUGACACUGAACAUUGAGCCUUGAUGUGUAGGAUAGGUGGGAGGCUUUGAAGCGUGGACGCCAGUCUGCGUGGAGCCAACCUUGAAAUACCACCCUUUAAUGUUUGAUGUUCUAACGUUGGCCCCUKACCGGGGUUGCGGACAGUGUCUGGUGGGUAGUUUGACUGGGGCGGUCUCCUCCCAAAGCGUAACGGAGGAGCACGAAGGUUAGCUAAUCCUGGUCGGACAUCAGGAGGUUAGUGCAAUGGCAUAAGCUAGCUUGACUGCGAGCGUGACGGCGCGAGCAGGUGCGAAAGCAGGUCAUAGUGAUCCGGUGGUUCUGAAUGGAAGGGCCAUCGCUCAACGGAUAAAAGGUACUCCGGGGAUAACAGGCUGAUACCGCCCAAGAGUUCAUAUCGACGGCGGUGUUUGGCACCUCGAUGUCGGCUCAUCACAUCCUGGGGCUGAAGUAGGUCCCAAGGGUAUGGCUGUUCGCCAUUUAAAGUGGUACGCGAGCUGGGUUUAGAACGUCGUGAGACAGUUCGGUCCCUAUCUGCCGUGGGCGCUGGAGAAUUGAGGGGGGCUGCUCCUAGUACGAGAGGACCGGAGUGGACGCAUCACUGGUGUUCGGGUUGUCAUGCCAAUGGCACUGCCCGGUAGCUAAAUGCGGAAGAGAUAAGUGCUGAAAGCAUCUAAGCACGAAACUUGCCCCGAGAUGAGUUCUCCCUGAGACUUUAAGUCUCCUGAAGGAACGUUGAAGACGACGACGUUGAUAGGCCGGGUGUGUAAGCGCAGCGAUGCGUUGAGCUAACCGGUACUAAUGAACCGUGAGGCUUAACCU